rnacentral:rRNA from 1 species
UAACGGCCCACCGAGGCGACGAUGCGUAGGGGUUCUGAGAGGAAGGUCCCCCACACUGGUACUGAGACACGGACCAGACUCCUACGGGAGGCAGCAGUGAGGAAUAUUGGUCAAUGGGCGCGAGCCUGAACCAGCCAAGUCGCGUGAGGGAUGACGGUCCUACGGACUGUAAACCUCUUUUGCCGGGGAGCAAGCGUGCGUUCGUGAACGCGCGUCGAGAGUACCCGGAGAAAAAGCAUCGGCUAACUCCGUGCCAGCAGCCGCGGUAAUACGGAGGAUGCGAGCGUUAUCCGGAUUUAUUGGGUUUAAAGGGUGCGUAGGCGGGAUGCCAAGUCAGCGGUAAAAAUGCGGUGCUCAACGCCGUCGAGCCGUUGAAACUGGCGUUCUUGAGUGGGCGAGAAGUAUGCGGAAUGCGUGGUGUAGCGGUGAAAUGCAUAGAUAUCACGCAGAACUCCGAUUGCGAAGGCAGCAUACCGGCGCCCUACUGACGCUGAGGCACGAAGGCGUGGGUAUCGAACAGGAUUAGAUACCCUGGUAGUCCACGCAGUAAACGAUGAAUGCUAACUGUCCGGCUCGAAUGAGCGCUGG